GACGAACCGUGCAAACGUUGUUCGGAAUCACUGGGCUUAAAGGGCGCGUAGGCGGGCCAGCCAGUCUGUGGUGAAAGCCUCCAGCUUAACUGGAGAAGUGCCGUGGAUACUGCUGGCCUCGAGGAGGAUAGGGGCAUCUGGAACGGUCGGUGGAGCAGUGAAAUGCGUUGAUAUCGACCGGAACUCCGGUGGCGAAGGCGAGGUGCUGGGUCCUUUCUGACGCUGAUGCGCGAAAGCCAGGGGAGCAAACGGG
rnacentral:rRNA from 1 species